CUGGAGGUAUCAGAAGUGCGAAUGCUGACAUAAGUAACGAUAAAGCGGGUGAAAAGCCCGCUCGCCGGAAGACCAAGGGUUCCUGUCCAACGUUAAUCGGGGCAGGGUGAGUCGACCCCUAAGGCGAGGCCGAAAGGCGUAGUCGAUGGGAAACGGGUUAAUAUUCCCGUACUUGGUGUUACUGCGAAGGGGGGACGGAGAAGGCUAUGUUGGCCGGGCGACGGUUGUCCCGGUUUAAGCGUGUAGGUGUGUGUUCCAGGUAAAUCCGGUUCACUUUAACACUGAGGCGUGACGACGAGGCACUACGGUGCUGAAGCAACAAAUGCCCUGCUUCCAGGAAAAGCCUCUAAGCAUCAGGUAACAUCAAAUCGUACCCCAAACCGACACAGGUGGUCAGGUAGAGAAUACCAAGGCGCUUGAGAGAACUCGGGUGAAGGAACUAGGCAAAAUGGUGCCGUAACUUCGGGAGAAGGCACGCUGACACGUAGGUGAAGUGAUUUACUCAUGGAGCUGAAGUCAGUCGAAGAUACCAGCUGGCUGCAACUGUUUAUUAAAAACACAGCACUGUGCAAACACGAAAGUGGACGUAUACGGUGUGACGCCUGCCCGGUGCCGGAAGGUUAAUUGAUGGGGUCAGCGCAAGCGAAGCUCCUGAUCGAAGCCCCGGUAAACGGCGGCCGUAACUAUAACGGUCCUAAGGUAGCGAAAUUCCUUGUCGGGUAAGUUCCGACCUGCACGAAUGGCGUAAUGAUGGCCAGGCUGUCUCCACCCGAGACUCAGUGAAAUUGAACUCGCUGUGAAGAUGCAGUGUACCCGCGGCAAGACGGAAAGACCCCGUGAACCUUUACUAUAGCUUGACACUGAACAUUGAGCCUUGAUGUGUAGGAUAGGUGGGAGGCUUUGAAGUGUGGACGCCAGUCUGCAUGGAGCCGACCUUGAAAUACCACCCUUUAAUGUUUGAUGUUCUAACGUGGACCCGUUACCCGGGUUGCGGACAGUGUCUGGUGGGUAGUUUGACUGGGGCGGUCUCCUCCUAAAGAGUAACGGAGGAGCACGAAGGUUGGCUAAUCCUGGUCGGACAUCAGGAGGUUAGUGCAAUGGCAUAAGCCAGCUUGACUGCGAGCGUGACGGCGCGAGCAGGUGCGAAAGCAGGUCAUAGUGAUCCGGUGGUUCUGAAUGGAAGGGCCAUCGCUCAACGGAUAAAAGGUACUCCGGGGAUAACAGGCUGAUACCGCCCAAGAGUUCAUAUCGACGGCGGUGUUUGGCACCUCGAUGUCGGCUCAUCACAUCCUGGGGCUGAAGUAGGUCCCAAGGGUAUGGCUGUUCGCCAUUUAAAGUGGUACGCGAGCUGGGUUUAGAACGUCGUGAGACAGUUCGGUCCCUAUCUGCCGUGGGCGCUGGAGAACUGAGGGGGGCUGCUCCUAGUACGAGAGGACCGGAGUGGACGCAUCACUGGUGUUCGGGUUGUCAUGCCAAUGGCACUGCCCGGUAGCUAAAUGCGGAAGAGAUAAGUGCUGAAAGCAUCUAAGCACGAAACUUGCCCCGA
rnacentral:rRNA from 2 species